UACGUAGGGUGCAAGCGUUGUCCGGAAUUAUUGGGCGUAAAGAGCUCGUAGGCGGUUUGUCGCGUCUGCUGUGAAAUCUGGAGGCUCAACCUCCAGCCUGCAGUGGGUACGGGCAGACUAGAGUGCGGUAGGGGAGAUUGGAACUCCUGGUGUAGCGGUGGAAUGCGCAGAUAUCAGGAAGAACACCGAUGGCGAAGGCAGAUCUCUGGGCCGUAACUGACGCU
rnacentral:rRNA from 1 species